CUGAUGAACGGCGAUGGAGUUCGCCAUAACCGCCGCAAGGCUGAUGACUCCUACCAGUGG
rnacentral:ncRNA from 1 species